rnacentral:rRNA from 1 species
GGCGUGCUUACACAUGCAAGUCGAACGAGAACGGGUUAUAGCUUGCUAUAACUGUCAGCUAAGUGGCGCACGGGUGAGUAAUGUAUAGUUAACCUGCCCUCUAGAAAGGAAUAACAGUUGGAAACGACUGCUAAUGCCCUAUAUGCCUUUAAGACAUAAGUCCGCAAGGGAAACGCUUUAGUGCUAGAGGAUGGGACUGUAUGGUAUCAGCUAGUUGGUGAGGUAAAGGCUCACCAAGGCAAUGACGCCUAACUGGUUUGAGAGGAUGAUCAGUCACACUGGAACUGAGACACGGUCCAGACUCCUACGGGAGGCAGCAGUGGGGAAUAUUGCACAAUGGAGGAAACUCUGAUGCAGCAACGCCGCGUGGAGGAUGACACUUUUCGGAGCGUAAACUCCUUUUAUAUAGGAAGAUAAUGACGGUACUAUAUGAAUAAGCACCGGCUAACUCCGUGCCAGCAGCCGCGGUAAUACGGAGGGUGCAAGCGUUACUCGGAAUCACUGGGCGUAAAGAGCGUGUAGGCGGGUUAAUAAGUUUGAAGUGAAAUCCUAUGGCUCAACCAUAGAACUG